CGACUCCCAAAGGGGUCGGACCCACAGGUUGAGAACCACUGGUCUAAAAGGAGUGUGGCUAGUGCACAAGAGAUUCCCAUUCCUCUCUCGGGCGUGGAGUCACCGCAGGGACAUCCUCACCUGUGGACGCUUCUCAAGUUGGUGGUGUGAUUAUUCCCAUUUCAUAGAGAAGCAACAGUCAAGGUGACAUGGGUCAGAGUGAGAAGCUGAAGGGUCACUUUUAUCUUGUCAAUGGGCUCUCCAUGCUCCAAAUCCCAGCAUUAUCCUUGAUGCCCCCAUCUCUCCUUCCCCUCCUCCAACACGAAGCCCUAUCAAGUUUGUCUUUUACGUUUCUCUCAAGGUCAUUUCCCACUUUUCUAUCCCACUGCCCUAACCCUAAUCCAAGUCUCUGGCACCAUCAUUUCGCAACCAGUUCACGUCAUAACGUUCACCCCAUUCUGCCUUACAGUCUAUCUUAGUCAAUGUGAGCUUGGAAAAGUCCAAGACUAGUCACGUCUCCUCUGUAUCAAAUGCAGGCGGUGCGGCCAGGUCAGAAGUCAGAGACAGAGGGGUGACUGGGGUGUGAGAUGUCACACUGACGGGGUGUGGAACAAGGUUUAAAGAUUGACUCAUACAACUACAUACUGAAUAUAAAAAGUCAAGUUUCCUAAUUGAGGCUGUAAUUUCGUAGUUAGGUUUAGAUAGGAUAAGAACUCUCCUAAGUGGCAUUUAAAGGCACCUCACCUCAGAUGUGGACUCAAUUCUACAGAACAGAACUUACCUUCUCCAGUACCUCUUUUCGGUAUGUCAGCAUCUAAAUUGAGCCUCUGUGGGGUGGUGUGAUUGCGCUUGUCCUAAAUUUCAGUAAGCGUGCUUUUUUAUCUUUUCAUUUCAGACAAUCUCCAGCAUCCACAGAAGUAGAACAGUGUAAUGAACUGAGGGCCCAUUCAUCCGUUUUCACAAUGAUCCACUGAGGGCCAAUCCUGUCGCACAUGCACCCCACCCCCGCCCGCCCCCAUUAUUUUGAAGCAAACCCCAGAGACCGUGUGGCUUUCCCCUGUGAACAGUAAAUGUGUUCUUAGUGCCAUUUCCAGCGUUGCAUAUACGCCUGCCAUGUUGGUCCUGCGAAAAGCUACGAAGUCACAGUUAAUGAGAAACCUGGGGAAUGGGGAGUUCUGAUUGAUCAGAUUUUUCUGUUUCACCGAAUUAUUAGCUAGAAAACCCUUAUUGUUUAAAAAGGGGAAAGGCUUUCUAAGAUAAGCGUCUACUUUCCUGCCUUAAUAGGUAUGGUACAGCAAACAAUCUAAUCUCUUCAUCUAGUCUGACUGAUUUUCGCUCCUGGGGGAAGUGACCCAACAGGGCUAGUUGUUUCCAUUACAGAUUUGUGGUGGCAGCGGGGCCUGGGUGACAGGGAUUACAGUCUUUCCCACCUGCCCCUCACCUGCCUCUGAAGCCCAGACUCCAACCCGUUGGGGUCUCCUGAGUCCCCAGCCCACUCAACAGUGUAACUGCACAACCCAUACUGUACCUCUUCCCCCAACACCCGCCACGAGUUUACCCAAUUUUUCGCUCUUUCCUCCAGUCUUUGACCAAGGAGAGUGUGAGCUGAAAGCGGAAUCUGCACUCAGCUCAGGGAACCCAACAGGGACUGUAUUGGAGACACAACAAAACCUCAGGGAGCAGACCUGCCUGGGUCGGCCCGCUCGCCCAGCCCAACCUGCUCCCGCAGGCUUGGCUGCCAAUAACCCCUUUGCAUGGAGAAUCCCAUCCUGGUGCCUACUUCUGGGAAGACUUGGAUUCACACAGAUUAUCACCCAGAGGAAUUCUAAUUAUGUAGGAGUCCUCAUUGGUGACGUUCCAGGUGACUUGGGAUUUGUCACCCUGGUCACCUGUGAGCAUCUCUGCCCCAUGUUGCCACUUUCAGGAAAGGUGAGAACGAAUCGUUUUGUUUUUCUUUUCUAUUAUACUGUGGUAGGUGGUUUUGAUUUAAAGGAGUAAAUCAGGCCCUAAUCUCUUCCCUCAUCUCCCCUCCAAAUGCUUCUCUUUCUGAGAAAUGGGGAAAGUAGGCAUCGAGCAGUGUCACCAGCUGGUGGGCCACCUGCGUCAGGCCUCACUGAUCCCAUCUCACUCAGCCAUCGAAAGGAAGGAAUGAAGCACCACACCUGCUACCAUGUGGGUGGCCCUUGAGACCACGAUGCUGAGCGAGAGACGCCAGACACAGAGGGCCAUGUAGUGUGUGAUUCCGUGGACAGGACGCAGCAGGUGCCCAGAGACAGAAAGCCGAUCAGUGGUCUUAGAGCCCAAGGGGUGGGGAGUGGGGGGUGACUGCUAACGGGUGCUGGUUUCUUUUCGGGGUGAUGAAAAUGUCCCAGAGUUAGUGAUGACGGUUGCACAACUUGGUGACUAUACUAAAAAAGACGUCGAGCCCAACCGGCAUGGCUCAGUGGUUGAGGGUCGACCUA